rnacentral:rRNA from 1 species
AGCGAACGCUGGCGGCAGGCCUAACACAUGCAAGUCGAACGAAGUCUUCGGACUUAGUGGCGGACGGGUGAGUAACACGUGGGAACGUGCCUUUAGGUUCGGAAUAACUCAGGGAAACUUGUGCUAAUACCGAAUGUGCCCUUCGGGGGAAAGAUUUAUCGCCUUUAGAGCGGCCCGCGUCUGGUUAGCUAGUUGGUGGGGUAAAGGCUCACCAAGGCGACGAUCAGUAGCUGGUCCGAGAGGAUGAUCAGCCACAUUGGGACGGAGACACGGCCCAAACUCCUACGGGAGGCAGCAGUGGGGAAUCUUGCGCAAUGGGCGAAAGCCUGACGCAGCCAUGCCGCGUGAAUGAUGAAGGUCUUAGGAUUGUAAAAUUCUUUCACCGGGGACGAUAAUGACGGUACCCGGAGAAGAAGCCCCGGCUAACUUCGUGCCAGCCGCCGCAGUAAAAC